AUUGCCUCAGUAACGGCGAGUGAAGCGGCAACAGCUCAAAUUUGAAAUCUGGCUCCUCCGGGGUCCGAGUUGUAAUUGGCAGAGGAUGCUUCGGGGUCGGCUCCGGUCUAAGUUCCUUGGAACAGGACGUCGUAGAGGGUGAGAAUCCCGUAUGCGACCGGCGGACGCCCCCGUGUGAAGCUCCUUCGACGAGUCGAGUUGUUUGGGAAUGCAGCUCUAAAUGGGAGGUAAAUUUCUUCUAAAGCUAAAUACCGGCCAGAGACCGAUAGCGCACAAGUAGAGUGAUCGAAAGAUGAAAAGCACUUUGAAAAGAGAGUUAAAAAGUACGUGAAAUUGUUGAAAGGGAAGCGCUUGCGACCAGACUUGCCCGCGGUUGCUCAGCCCUCCGGGCGUACUCUUCCGCGGUCAGGCCAGCAUCGGUUCGGGCGGGCGGACAAAGGCCCCGGGAACGUGGCUCCCUUCGGGGAGUGUUAUAGCCCGGGGCGCAAUGCGCCCUGUCCGGACCGAGGACCGCGCUUUGGCUAGGAUGCUGGCGUAAUGGUCGUAAGCGGCCCGUCUUGAAACACGGACCAAGGAGUCUAACAUCUGUGCGAGUGUUUGGGCGUCAAACCCAUGCGCGUAAUGAAAGUGAACGGAGGUGGGAACCCCUCGGGGCGCACCAUCGACCGAUCCUGAUGUCUUCGGAAGGAUUUGAGUAAGAGCACAGCUGUUGGGACCCGAAAGAUGGUGAACUAUGCCUGAAUAGGGCGAAGCCAGAGGAAACUCUGGUGGAGGCUCGCAGCGGUUCUGACGUGCAAAUCGAUCGUCGAAUUGGGUAUAGGGCGAAAGACUAAUCAAC
rnacentral:rRNA from 1 species